rnacentral:lncRNA from 12 species
CGUCACGGCCCCGCCCCCGGCCGGCUCCCUCCUUCCUGCGCGCGGCGCCCCGGCCGAGUCCUCACCUGGAGGGACAGGUGUGCUCAUCUCGCAUCUCCGAGAGGCCGGCCUGCGAGUGGCAGUGGAUCACUUUGUGAACUUCCUGGGGUGGCCAACAUCUACUUUGGAGACAGUCACUUUGGUGGUCACCAGAAUCCCCUGGAUGCUUUGGAAGUGGGUGAGUGGAUUCAUGAUGUCCUGAGGAACAAGGGGUACCCUUCAGUGGGGGCCCAGGUAUGUAUCCAGGUUCCUGUUGGCAGUGAGGGAGACAAAGCUGACAGGGGUGCAGUCUAUCAGGCAAGGGGAGGCCCCAGGUUGGGUCUGUAAGGGUAAAUUGGAGUCCUUCAUAACCUUUAUGAACAUUAGAUCAUAUUCACUCUCUUAGCCUCAGGUUCCUACCUGUAAAACAGGUGGGAUGAUCUCUGGCUCAUGAGAUUGUUGUAGAACUAAACCAGAACAGGUGAGAGGUGUCUAUUGUGGUGCCACAUUGUACAAUAAAUGAGAAUUUGCUCAUUCUCUCCCUCUUCUU